UCCAUAGGUCCUCCAGAGUCC
rnacentral:miRNA from 1 species